rnacentral:rRNA from 1 species
GACAGAGGUGGCAAGCGUUGUUCGGAUUUACUGGGCGUAAAGAGUGCGUAGGUGGUUCGGUAAGACCUGUGGGAAAGCCCAGGGCUUAACCCUGGAAGGUCGCAGGUGACUGCCGGGCUAGAGGACGGGAGAGGAGAGCGGAAUUCCCGGUGUAGCGGUGAAAUGCGUAGAGAUCGGGAAGAAGGCCGGUGGCGAAGGCGGCUCUCUGGAACGUUCCUGACACUGAGGCACGAAAGCCGGGGGAGCAAACAGG